CCUACGGGAGGCAGCAGUCGGGAAUCUUCCGCAAUGGGCGAAAGCCUGACGGUGCAACGCCGCGUGAUCGAAUGAAGGCCUUCGGGUUGUAAAGAUCUGUUGACAGGGACGAAUAAGCAAUGAGAAUAGUUUUGUGUAUGACGGUACCUGUUUAGAAAGCUCCGGCUAACUACGUACCAGCAGCCGCGGCAAUACGUAGGGAGCAAGCGUUGUCCGGAAUUACUGGGCGUAACGGGGGCGUAGGUGGGCGCUUACGUCAGGUGUGAACACGGCGGGCUCAACCUGGCGACGGCACAUGAAACUGGGUGGCUUGAGGGCAGGAGAGGAAAGUGGAA
rnacentral:rRNA from 1 species